UCAGACAUGGUGUAGUGGGAACACAGCUUAUUCUUCUACGCGAAAUACUCUUAUUCUGUAGGCAAUCCGGGGUUCGAAUCCCUGUGUCUGAA